AUUGAACGCUGGCGGCAUGCUUUACACAUGCAAGUCGAACGGUAACAGGUUAAGCUGACGAGUGGCGAACGGGUGAGUAAUGCAUCGGAACGUGCCCGAUCGUGGGGGAUAACACUUCGAAAGAAGUGCUAAUACCGCAUACGAUCUGAGGAUGAAAGCGGGGGACCGUAAGGCCUCGCGCGAUCGGAGCGGCCGAUGUCAGAUUAGGUAGUUGGUGGGGUAAAGGCUCACCAAGCCGACGAUCUGUAGCUGGUCUGAGAGGACGACCAGCCACACUGGGACUGAGACACGGCCCAGACUCCUACGGGAGGCAGCAGUGGGGAAUUUUGGACAAUGGGCGCAAGCCUGAUCCAGCAAUGCCGCGUGCAGGAAGAAGGCCUUCGGGUUGUAAACUGCUUUUGUACGGAGCGAAAAGGCUCUCUCUAAUACAGGGGGCUCAUGACGGUACCGUAAGAAUAAGCACCGGCUAACUACGUGCCAGCCGCCGCAGUAA
rnacentral:rRNA from 1 species